UACCAGCGCCCCGAGUGGUCGGGACGUUUAUUGGGCCUAAAGCAUCCGUAGCCGGUUCUACGAGUCCUCCGUUAAAUCCAACUGCUUAACAGGUGGGCUGCGGAAGAUACUAUAGAGCUAGGAGGCGGGAGAGGCAAGCGGUACUCGAUGGGUAGGGGUAAAAUCCGUUGACCCAUUGAAGACCACCAGUGGCGAAGGCGGCUUGCCAGAACGCGCUCGACGGUGAGGGAUGAGAGCUGGGGGAGCAAACCGG
rnacentral:rRNA from 1 species